rnacentral:misc_RNA from 1 species
UCUAUAAAAUUUUACUGAGAGAGUGAUGAAAACUUUUCAAACAAAUAUAGAAAUGAAUCAUGUAUAUACUGUUUUUCAAACCUAACCGAGAUAUAUUAUCUGUUUUGAUUAAUUCUAUGUCUGAAUCACUACUCGUAUUGUUGCAUAGAAUCAAACAAUGCCUGAAAACACGAGUACAAAGAAUUAAACUCCAAUUUCUCAGUGAAAUAUGUUCUCCAACAUCCUCUGAACACUCCUUAUCCUUUACCAACACGGUAUUAUUCAGUUGGCACGUUGCGUGGCUCGCAGCAUUGACUCCAACAACGAGUAUACACGAGAAUCUUCGUCGACUCGUAGUUGCUCGCGAAUGAGAGCCUUGCGGCAUCACGGACACGCUCGUUUUUCGUUCAUCGGGUCCACGAGAGCGUGC